AUAAUGAUACUCCCGUCUUGAACGCGUCACUGCAUUGGGCGGUUGCGUAAGACCUACGCAGAGGGUGAAAGUCCCGUGA
ncrna:unclassified sequences pemK RNA